AAUCAUGAAUAUUUAUUAAAGAAUGUGUACAUUUGAAUAUACAUGUUUGAGUUAAAGUGCAUUCAGUAAAUCACUUUUAUUUUUACACCAUCAACCGAGAGCUCUCCAUGAAAGCUUUUACUCCACGUACUUCAUCUCUUCUUGAGGUAUUACGUCUUCUGCAUCAUCUUAUGCAACCAUUCACAGGAAGAACAUUGCUACAAUGUUUGCAUUAUCUUUUUGGUCCCACAAGCCAAAAAAAAUUUAAAAAAAACCUUUAAAACCUAUGGGUUUGUAAAUCCAAGUGGCUUCUGUUAAUUCUAAUCAAUGUAUGUGUACCAUAAUCAGAAGAUACAUGUGUGAAAGAGAAGAAAAUCUAUCCUUAGGACAUCAGAGAGCAACAAUAACAGCAAAAUCAAUUUAAGCCAGUGAGUGUAAGUAUACAUAUAUGUGUGUCUCGGCAGGGGAAAUGGGGAGGGAGUAUUGUAUAGGAGUGUAAUCGCACUGAUCAUAACACAUAAAAUAAAAGAGAGGCAGCCAUUGCAUUACCAAACAGAGCAAAUGUGCAAGUACCAUAGUCAUUUGGUUGUCUCUGCACACAAACUGUUUUGAUAACAUACAUCUAGAUUAAAUUUUAUGUAAAUAUAAUUUUUCUACAAGUGUUUGAGUUCUACUCAAGAUAUUGUAACAGAAUUUCACACUUCAUUUAAAAAAAAGCCUUUAAAAUAUAAAGUGUACGUUCAUUCUAGAUGUCUGUUAAAUGUAAGUUGCAGAGAUGUAGAUAGGAGAUAGGUAGAGAUUUUAGAGAGAGAGUUUCUGAGAGUUUUUUUUUUUUCACAUUUUAAGCUACUCACUGGGUGACAAUGUCAUGUUGAGAUUGUCAGUGUUUUGGAAAGGUCAUUUUCCAGGUGCUACUGCUCCAGUCCCCUAAUUUGUCAUAACUGAUGUGAUAGACAGACAGAUUUUACCAUUUGCUUAAGUGUGUGUUAAAUCUUCCAUAUAAUAGGCUGAUAGCAACCCUGUUCAAGAGCUUGAGUGUUCGUACUUUUUAUUGUUUCUUAUCUUUGUGGGCAUUUUCUGCUUCCUCAGAGGCUUUUUUUCCCAAAGUGACUUUUUUUUUUUCUUUUUCUUUGGCUUCCUUGACCUUCUUUAUAGCAUAAAGCUCUUAGUUUGCAAUUUAUUUCAAGGCCACCGUUGCUACCCUCAGUUACGCCAUUUUGUCUGUCUGUGUAUGUGUGUAUGUUUGUUAGAGUGGAGGAGAGGGUGGAGAAGGAGUAGAAAUGUGUAACUUAUUCUGAAAUGAGUUAUAGUUUACAAGUAUUUUCAAAUCUUUGAGAAAAUAAAUAACUUACAAACUUAAUGACCUAUUUCAUCUAUACCUUGUCCUCAUCUGAACAUGUGAGAUGGAUUUAAAAAGAUAAAAUACUUCCCCUGACCCUAGAGGAGCAAAAAACUAUAUGGCAUACAACAAACACCUGUCUGAUAUUAUUGUUGAUGACAUUUGUCCAGCUAAAUAAAGCUUAUUUUUCUCAGGCCACAAAUGUAUUUCUCAAAUCCUGGAAAAAUGAACAGCAAAAAAUAAUUCUCUAUUCUCCCAUCUUCAAAGGCACAUGUCUUAAAGUGUAAGUUUUCCUUUAAUGAAAACAUAGUAAAUGGUAUUUCUUUAAAAUGAUUAGCUGAACAAUGUUUGACUAUGAAACUAUAAGAAAGGUUAAGUGUUUUUGUUUGUUUAAGUGAUUGAUUUAAGAAUUUCAGGACACAGUAGGUUGUUUUUGUCAUUAAAAAUGUUUCCCAACAAAGCAAGUAUGCAAGACUUUAGUUAACUCUUUUUCAUAUCCACAAACUUCUGUUAAAAAAAGAGUUGGGAUACUUUUGUCUGUAUUUCUCUAUUUGAGUUCAUUUACAACCAGUAUUGUCCAAAUGUAAGAACAAUCUGUUGGCCUACAAGACAUCAGACAAAUCCUGUAAUAUUCAAUACAAAAAGUUUUUAUAUUUUUUGAAGCAAAAUGUUGCAUGCCAUGAGAUAUAAAGAGAUUGUACUUCCAGGACAACUAGCAUUCAAUUCUAUGUCUAGAAUUCAGUGAGAAUUACAUGUAUGUUUAUUGCAGCACUAUUUACAACAGCAAACACUUGGAACCAACCCAAAUGCCCAUCAAUGAUAGACUGGAUAAAGAAAAUGUGGCUCAUAUACACCAUGGAAUACUAUGCAGCCAUAAAAAGGAAUGAAUUCAUGUCCUCUGCAGGGACAUGGAUGAAGCUGGAAGCCGUCAUCCUCAGCAAACUAACACAGGAACAGAAAACCAAACGCCACGUGUUCUCACUCAUAAGUGGGAAUUGAGAACACAUGGACACAGGGAGGGGAACGUCACAUACUGGGGCCUGUCGGGUGAUGCAGGACAAGGGGAGGGAGGACAUUAGGACAAAUACCUAAUGCAUACAGGGCAUAAAGCCUGGAUGAUGGGUUGAUAAGUGCAGCAAACCACCAUGGCCACAUGUAUCCUAUGUAACAAACCUGCACAUUCUGCACAUGUAUCCCAAAACUUAAAGUCAAAUGCAAAAAAAAACUAAAUGCCUCUAACAAGACCAAAAAAGAAUUAUGAGUGAGUUAUAAACCUUGGUAAUGUGUUUUCUGCCCCCAAUUUCAGUUUCUUAUUAUAAUGUGCAUCCAUAGUUCUUAUAAGCUUUUUAAAAGAAAGUCCCUAUUUUAAAAGUGUAACCUAAAAUAGCUCAUACCUGAGAAAAUGCUUGCUAUUGUUUUAAACAGUUAAAGAGACAUGACUCAGCUUAUUCUCAUUUAGCUAGUAUUUUAUCCAACAGCUUAAAAAUAAAAAACUAAUUUUUAAUAAGAUACAGAAAAAGGAGAUUUUUUUGCCUGAGCAUAAUUGGGAACAGAAGAAUGGGAAAGCAGAAAUAAACAAUGCUGAACAAAAGCUAAAGUAGAGAAUAGAAGAGGAAAACAAAUAGAAAGCUAUAGUUCAAUUUGGGAUUUCAUAUCACUGUAGAAGAGGUGCAUGGCUGCUAAAUACCUAAAAAUACAUGUAAUAAAAAUGUUUGUUUUUCCAUCUGUCCUUGCUCUUCCCUCUCUCUUCAUUCAUUAAAAAUGGAAGACAAACUAGGUAGAAAUGCUGCAUUACCAUGGGGGUCAGCAAAGUCCUGAUCAUCAAACCUAGCACAGAUUGGGGUUAUGGGAAGGUUAAGUAGUAAAAUGGGAGAAAAUUAACUUGUCAGGAAAAGGCUGUGAAGCUGGCUGGUGAAGGUUGUUAGGUCUCUGUGCAUGGUUACAGCACACUGACUCAGGUGCAUCAAGCAGGGAGAAGGUCACACCCCUUGAGGCUGGAUGACAAUCUGCCGAUUUAGACACUAGCCCUGGGUCAUCCUAGUUUUACUAAGUAAUAUCUCAAACUGGGAGUUGUCUGACAAGGUGUGUAUAUGAGGAUAAAUUCCAGUCAAAUGCAUUCCAGAAACAACUUCUUUUUCUGUUCUGUUAACUGCAGGACAUUUGUUUAAUUAGAUAAUGUGCAAUGAAAUGCAAGAAAAUGCCUAUUGCUGAAUAGUCAUGAGAAGAGAAAAAAUAUUUGCCUUUCUUUUUUAAAACACAGGAUGUUAAAUUCUCUUUAGUUAAGAUGGUAACUUAUUUUCAUGUUCCAUAUCUAAAUGUAUCUCUUUGAAGCACAGGUAGAUUUUUUUAAAGUACAACCUAUUAGAUUGGCAAAAAUGAAGACUUUUAAAACAUAAUAUAUUUGGUAAGGCUGAGGGAGCUAGGUAGUGUCAAAUACUGCUGAUGGGAAAGCAAACUGUUACAUCACCUAUGAAACGAAAUUUAGCACUACACAGCAAAAUUGUAUGUGAAUAUAAGAUCUCAUUUCUAAAAAUCACCCCUAAAAUACACUGCAAAAAAUACAAAGACAGAUAAUCAUGAAGCUAUUCACUGCAGGCUUAUUUGUGAUAGCAGAAGACUGGAAACAACUCAUAUGUCCUUAGUAGGGUUCCAGUUGAAUAAGCAAUGGUACAGUCAAACAAAGGAGCAUGCAGUUCUGAAAGAACAGGAGAAAUAUUUUUAUACAUUGCUGUGCAACUAUCUCCAAAUUUAUUAUUAGGUGAAAAAAGCAAAAAGGAGAAGGCAUGUAUUGUACGCAUCUACUAAUUUAAUAAGGAGGUGAGAUUAAAAUACACAUGUAUUUUUUCAUACUGCAAAUAAAUCAACAUUGAAAUACAAAGUUACUGAUGGGGAAAGGAGGAGGAAGUGGAAAGGACAGAAAUAAAAGUUAGAUUUUCCUGAAUGUAUCUUCUUUUGCAGAUUUGAUUUUGUCACUAUGUAAAUAUUUUACAUUACUAAUUACGUUAAAUCUUUAAAAUGGAAUUCUUAACAAAAAGGAGCAAAUAAAUCUAACUGCAUGGAGGUAGUGACACAACCACACAGGGAAGAGUUAUUUCAAGUGACUUUGGCAUAGCAUAGUUUGAUUAUUUAUUCAUUAUGAGACAGACAUACCUGAAAAACAAAACUUUGGGUAUAGGAAAUUUGGGUAUAAAAAUUACUUUUACUAUUUUUAUUGUUGGUAUUUAUUCUGAGAUUAUUUGCUACCUUUGUGGAAUUGAACAUAUAUUUCAUUAUGUUGGUAUUACUGGUAAUUAGUAUUUUUAGCAUGGGGGAAGGAGAUAGGGACACAAGAUCAAUGAGGUGAGUAAAAACUCUGUAGCUCUGAAUUUGCAUUUGAAAUAUCAGAAGGAAGGAACUCAUACUGCAUUUUAUCCUAAAAGGAACCACAGCUUUUAGAGAAACGAAGGAUUCUGUUUCUGGAAUGAGAAAUGUUCAAGAUGAGCCUGGAAUAUCAUGCCAUGCCAGGAAGUAAAGAGACUUUCAAAACCUGUGGAGUUGUAUCAAAAGAACUAAGGUGUAAUUUAACGAGUCUUUCACUUGUCAAGAUAAUGAAUUUAUACAUGAGUGGAAACAGUAACUGUAAUGAUUGGAAUAUAUAAAAUGUAUUAAUUUCCAUGAAUUCAUAAUAAUAAUAAAGAUAAAAUGGAUUGGAUC
rnacentral:lncRNA from 10 species